rnacentral:misc_RNA from 1 species
UCCGGUUUGGCACCGGCAGUCUCCAAUGAGUCCCCGGCAUUACCCGCUGGCAACAUUGGACAGGGGUUGCGCUCGUUGCGCCACUUAAGGCAACACCUCACGACACGAGCUGACGACAGCCAUGCAGCACCUGUCACCGGUCCAGCCUAACUGAAGGAAUCCAUCUCUGGAAACCGUGACCGGGAUGUCAAGGGCUGGUAAGGUUCUGCGCGUUGCUUCGAAUUAAACCACAUGCUCCACCGCUUGUGCGGGCCCCCGUCAAUUCCUUUGAGUUUCAACCUUGCGGUCGUACUCCCCAGGCGGGGUACUUCCUGCGUUAGCGCCGGCACCCAGAGGGUCGCUCCCCCAGGCACCUAGUACCCAUCGUUUACGGCGUGGACUAC